GCCUUGCCUGGGGAUGGCUCAGUCAAAGGUUUCCUGAAUGAGCUAGGAGACAAUGUGGGACAGGCAGCUAUCCAGCUGGUACUGACUAAACUCAACCUACAGGAUACGAUCAUUGGAACGACAUGCCAGUUGCCUUCACAGAUAACGACAGGCACCCAAUGCCCAUUGAUCUCCCUACCCUUCCUGGAGAAUGUCGUCCAGUGCUCCAUUGACGAUCGCUGCCUUGGCAUCCAAUGCUGCAUCCAUCUUGACUUUGUCAUCACUGAACUCUUGCUGAGUGCAAGAAUUCAAGUUGACCCUUGCAACUUCCAGCUGUAUGUGGCCUUUGAGAACUGGGAACUGAACAUCACUCUCUUCAGCUACACCUGGGGAAAGGUGGAAACGGUAAACAUUGGAAACGCUGUAAU